ensembl:lncRNA JPX JPX transcript, XIST activator
GCGGCACGGCAACGGCUGGGGCACGGCAACGGCUGGUGCAUGUUGCCGGCGGAGGCAUUUAGGUAGUGCACGACGGCUGGGCGCCGGGCCUGUUUGGCUGUGACGCCCACCCCCGGCUUUCAUCCGCCUAUGCCCUAGGGCUAGUGGAAGACUUAAGAUGGCGGCGUUUGCACGGAGUGCAAUCACUGCGUCCUUACGGGGGUUGCAAGGCGUCCGAAGUAUGAGUCCACUAACAAAAGUCCAGAAACUCGCCAGUUAAUAGUAUUGUGUCUCUUCAAAAUAUCGGAGAAUAAUUUCUUUCUCGCUGAUCGCCUAACUUCUACUGACGAAGCUUGGAAGUUGCAGAAGAUGGAGUUCGCUCUUGUUGCCCAGGCUGGAAUGCAAUGGCAUGACCUUGGCUCACUGCAACCUCUGCCUCCCCAGUUCAAGUGGUUCUCCUGCCUCAGCCUCCCGAGUAGCUGAGAUUACAGGUACUGGCUCCUGUAUCACCCAGCUCUGGAGUUGAAAGAGCUCUUCAUUCCUGAGUCUCCUGUACCACUGAGAAUAGAAAUACAAAAAAAAUUCUAAAACUUGUAUGGAACUACAAAAGACAUUAAAUAAUCAAAGUAAUCUUGAGCAACAAGGACACAGCUGGAGGCAUCACUCUACCUGAUUUUGUAAUCCAUUAUCAAAAAACUGUGGUACCAGCAUAAAAACAGAUUCACUGACCAGUGGAACAGGAAAGCCCAGACAUAACUCAUACAUUUCCAUCCAAUUGAUUUUUGACAAAAGUGGCACACAGAAUGGGGAGAGGACAAAUAAAUAAAUAAAUUGUUUUGAGAUAUCUGUAUAUCUAUAUGUGAAAUUGAACCAUUUUCUCAUAGCAUAUAGAAAAAUCAACUCAAAAUGGAUUAAAGCCUGAAAUGUUGCCUUUGAAACUGUAAAACUACUAGUAGAAAAUAUAGGGGAAAAGCUCUAUGAUGUUGUUCUGGGCAAUGAUUUCUUGGAUACAUCCUUAAAAGCAUGGGCAGCAAAAACAGCCAGACAACUAUCAGGGAACCUGCCCAGAUAGUCACAUAGGUUCUUUUCUAUUUUCCCUAAGCAUUGGCCGGGUUGAGAAAUAAAGGGACAGAGUACAAAAGAGAGAAAUUUUAAAGCUGGGCAUCCUGGGGAGACAUCACAUGUCGGUAGGUUCCGUGAUGCCCCCUGAGCCGUAAAACCAGUAAGUUUUUAUUAGGGAUUUUCAAAGGGGAGGGAGUAUACGAAUAGGAGGUGGGUCACAGAGAUCACGUGCUUCACAAGGUAAUAGAAUAUCACAAGGCAAAUGGAGGCAGGGCGAGAUCACAGGACCACAGGACUGGGUUGAAAUUAAAAUUGCUAAUGAAGUUUCGGGCACCAUCGUCAUUGAUAACAUCUUAUCAGGAGACAGGGUUUGAGAGCAACCUGUCUGACCAAAAUUUAUUAGGUGGGAAUUUCCUCGUCCUAAUAAGCCUGGGAGCGCUAUGGGAGACUGGGGCUUAUUUCAUCCCUACAGUCUCGACCAUAGAAGACAGCUACACCCAAGGGGGCCAUUUUAGAGGCCCACCCUCAGGGGCACAUUCUCUUUCUCAGGGAUGUUCCUUGCUGAGAAAAAGAAUUCGGCGAUAUUUCUCCCAUUUGCUUUUGAAAGAAGAGAAAUAUGGCUCUGUUCCGCCUGGCUCACCGGCGGUCAGAGUUUAAGGUUAUCUCUCUUAUUCCCUGAACAUUGCUGUUAUCCUGUUCUUUUUUCAAGGUGCCUAGAUUUCAUAUUGUUUAAACACACAUGCUCUACAAUUUCUGCACUUAACACAAUUAUCACAGGGUCCUGAGGCGACAUACGUCCUCCUCGGCUUACGAGAUGACAGGAUUAAGAGAUUAAAACAGGCAUAGGAAAUCACAAGGGUAUUGAUUGGGGAAGUGAUAAGUGUCCAUGAAAUCUUCACAAUUUAUGUUUAGAGAUUGCAGUAAAGACAGGCAUAAGAAAUUAUAAAAGUAUUAAUUUGGGGAACUAAUAAAUGUCCAUGAAAUCUUCACGAUCCACGUUCUUCCGCCAUGGCUUCAGCCAGUCCCUCCGUUUGGGGUCCCUGACUUCCCGCAACAGACAACUUGAGUUGCAUCAAACUAAAAAGCAUCUGCACUGCAAAGGGUACAGUUAACAGAAUGAAGACACGGGUUUUGAGAAACCAUUUUCAAAUCAUAUAUCUGAUAAGGGGCUAAUAUCCAAAAUGUAUUAAGAAACCCAAGCCCAAUAGCAAGAAAACAACUGUCUUUAAAAGGGGGAAAAGGACCUCAACUUAAAUUUUUCAGAGGAAGACAUGAGUGGCCAAUUGAUUGAUACAUGAAAAAAAUGCUCAACAUCUCUAAUCAUUAGUGAGUUGCAAAUCAAAACUGCAAGAUAUUACCUUACACCUUUUAGAAUGGCUAUUAUUAAAAGGAUGAAAGACAGGUGCUGGCAAGGAUGUGGAUAAAAGGAAGUCCCAACAUUCUGUUAGUGGGAAUAUAAAUUAGUAUAGCCAAUUUAGGAAACUAUAUGGUGGUUCCUUAAGAAACUAAAAGUACAAUUACUAUAUGAUCUAGCAAUCUCUACUUAGGUAUAUAUCCAAAGGAAUUGAAGCAGUAUGUUGAGAUCUUGCACUCCCUUAUUUUGAAAUUAUUUACAAAGCUAAUAAAUGGAAAAGACUUAAGUUUUCAUAACAGAUGAAUGGACAUAGAAGAUGUGUUGUAUAUACAUAUUGGAAUAUUUUUUAUCCUUGGAAAAGAAGGAAAAUUGUCAUUUGUGACAACAUGGAUGAAUCUGUAGUAUACUAUGCUAAGUGUUGUAAGACAGGCACAGAGAGGCAAAUACUACAUUAUAUUUGUAUGUGGAAUCUAAGAAAGGCUAACUCAUACAAGUAGAAAGUUGGAUGUUAUGGUUUCCAGGAUGUGGGUGUUGGAGAGAUGGGCAAAGGCAAGACGUUGGUCAAAGAGUACCAAUUUUCUGUUAGGAGGAAUAAGUUUUAGACAUAUUUCACAGCAUGGUGACCAUUGUCACUGACUGUAUAUUUUAAAAUUGUUAUAAGUAGAUAUUAAAGUUGUCACAACAAAAGUAGGUGAAGUUAUGGAUAUGUUAAUGUGCUUGAUUUAGUUAUUACACUAUGUAUACAUACAAAAACAUCAGAUAGUUCCCUGGAAUUAUAUACAAUUAUUACUUGUCAAUUAUAAAAAAAAGCCCUACUGCAACCACUAAAAAGGAUUUUCAUAUAAUAGAGGGAAAAAUCGUUAAAGAUAAUAAUACAUUAUUUUAGAAAAUAUUAACUUAUAAAAAGUAGUAUAGGAGGGAUUCUGUAAAAGAAGAUAGACAUAGAAUUUUAAAAUGUAUAAUGGAAAAUUUAAAUCCAGCUGUACUGAUGGAUCAAGCAAUCCAAACCAGUCUGAUUGACCAAGUGGAUAUUUAAAAAACAAUCAAACUAUAAGGUGUCUGUUGUAGGCAGUUUAUAAAAUACAAAAGUGUUGAAAGAAAUAGGAUGGAAAUAGAAAUAUCCAAGUAGCAACCACAAAAAAACUGGAAUGUCUGCACUAACAUCAUACAAAACAAACCAAAUGAAGGUUAAAAAUAUUGAAAUUAUACAAAAUAUGUUCUAUGACUAAAAUUUAAUGAAAUUAGAAAUAACACAGAGAUAGGAACUAUACAUAUUUGUGCAAAUUUAAAAAGUUAUGCUGAGUGUGGUGGCUCACACCUGUAAUCCCAGCACUUUGGGAGGCCGGGGAGGGUGGAUCACUUGAAGUCAGGAGUUGGAGACCAGCCUGGCCAACAUGGUGAAACCCUGUCUCUACUAAAAAUACAGAAAAUUAGCCAGAUGUGGUGGUGUGCGCCUGUAGUCCCAGCUACUCGGGUGGCUGAGGCACUAGAAUCACUUGAGCCUAGGAGGCAGAGGUGGCAGUGAGCCGAGAUCACACCACUGCACUGCAGCCUG